AUUGAACGCUGGCGGCAUGCUUUACACAUGCAAGUCGAACGGCAGCACGGGGGCAACCCUGGUGGCGAGUGGCGAACGGGUGAGUAACACAUCGGAACGUGUCCUUGAGUGGGGGAUAACCUGGCGAAAGCCAGGCUAAUACCGCAUACGCUCGGAAGAGGAAAGCGGGGGAUCGCAAGACCUCGCGCUGGAGGAGCGGCCGAUGUCCGAUUAGCUAGUUGGUGGGGUAAAGGCCCACCAAGGCGACGAUCGGUAGCUGGUCUGAGAGGAUGAUCAGCCACACUGGGACUGAGACACGGCCCAGACUCCUACGGGUGGCAG
rnacentral:rRNA from 1 species